rnacentral:rRNA from 1 species
CCUACGGGCGGCAGCAGUGGGGAAUAUUGGGCAAUGGGCGCAAGCCUGACCCAGCAACGCCGCGUGAAGGAAGAAGGCUUUCGGGUUGUAAACUUCUUUUCUCAGGGACGAAGCAAGUGACGGUACCUGAGGAAUAAGCCACGGCUAACUACGUGCCAGCAGCCGCGGUAAUACGUAGGUGGCAAGCGUUAUCCGGAUUUACUGGGUGUAAAGGGCGAGUAGGCGGGAAAGCAAGUCAGAUGUGAAAACCAUGGGCUCAACCUGUUGCCUGCAUUUGAAACUGUUGUUCUUGAGUACUGGAGAGGCAGACGGAAUUCCUGGUGUAGCGGGGAAAUGCGUAGAUAUUAGGAGGAACACCAGUGGCGAAGGCGGGCUGCUGGACAACAACUGACGCUGAGGUGCGAAAGCGUGGGGAGCAAACAGGAUUAGAUACCCCUGUAGUC